rnacentral:tRNA from 1 species
CAGCGGGUACGCGAGCUGGCGCAGCGUCCUAUGGCGGCGCUGGCCGGUGGCCGGCCCGCCGCCGUUCUUCCCGUCGCCCGACGAC